rnacentral:rRNA from 1 species
UACGUAGGUGGCAAGCGUUAUCCGGAAUUACUGGGCGUAAAGCGUGCGCAGGCGGUUUUGUAAGUCUGACGUGAAAUCCCCGGGCUUAACCUGGGAAUUGCGUUGGAGACUGCAAGGCUGGAGUCUGGCAGAGGGGGGUAGAAUUCCACGUGUAGCAGUGAAAUGCGUAGAGAUGUGGAGGAACACCGAUGGCGAAGGCAGCCCCCUGGGUCAAGACUGACGCUCAUGCACGAAAGCGUGGGGAGCAAACAGG